rnacentral:rRNA from 1 species
AACGAACGCUGGCGGCAGGCUUAACACAUGCAAGUCGAACGCGUGUAGCAAUACACGAGUGGCGCACGGGUGAGUAACACGUGGAUUAUCUGCCUCUUGGUUCGGAAUAACCCCGGGAAACUGGGGCUAAUACCGAAUGGUUCCUACGGGAUAAAGAUUUAUCGCCAAGAGAUGAGUCCGCGUCCGAUUAGCUAGUUGGUGGGGUAACGGCCUACCAAGGCGACGAUCGGUAGCUGGUCUGAGAGGACGAUCAGCCACACUGGGACUGAGACACGGCCCAGACUCCUACGGGAGGCAGCAGUGGGGAAUAUUGGACAAUGGGGGCAACCCUGACGCAGCCAUGCCGCGUGGAUGAUGAAGGUCUUAGGAUUGUAAAAUCCUUUCUCCGGUGAAGAUAAUGACUGUAGCCGGAGAAGAAGCCUCGGCUAACUUCGUGCCAGCCGCCGCGGUAAAAC